CGGGUGAGUAACGCGUAGACAACCUGCCUCUUAGAUGGGGACAACAUCGCGAAAGCGGUGCUAAUACCGAAUGAAGUGGAGCUUCCGCAUGGAAGCAUCACCAAAGGUGGCCUCUAUUUAUAAGCUACCACUGAGAGAUGGGUCUGCGUCUGAUUAGCUAGUUGGCGGGGUAAUGGCCCACCAAGGCGACGAUCAGUAGCCGGUCUGAGAGGAUGAACGGCCACAUUGGGACUGAGACACGGCCCAAACUCCUACGGGAGGCAGCAGUGGGGAAUCGUUCCGCAAUGGACGAAAGUCUGACGGAGCAACGCCGCGUGAGUGAAGAAGGUUUUCGGAUCGUAAAGCUCUGUUGUUGAGACGAAUGUGCAGACUUUGAAUAAGGGUUUGUAAAUGACGGUAUUAAACGAGAAAGCCACGGCUAACUACGUGCCAGC
rnacentral:rRNA from 1 species